rnacentral:tRNA from 1 species
GGGCUUUUAGCUCAGUUGGUUAGAGCAACAGACUCAUAAUCUGGAGGUCCCUGGUUCAAGUCCAGGAUGGCCCA